rnacentral:lncRNA from 1 species
AUUCACAUAAAUUAUGUAAAUUUCAACAAAUUUCAAAUAACGAACAAACUUCAAUAAACAAAAUUCAACAAACUCAUCUACACAAACUCAUCAAAUAACCUGUGGUGGAGCAAUGGAAGAGCUACAGCGAGCAAACUGGAAACGGCUUGACUUGCCGAGGAGAAGCAAACUGGAAACGACCGAUGAGGAGCUGCAGCGACUCUGGACUAAAGACGUGCCAAGGAGAGGCUGGACUCUGGAGAAAUGGAUGCGGCUACUCCCUACCUGCCGCCAGCGUGCUGCUGGCCUGCUGCUGCGUUUUCUUUUUUCUUUGAUUUGGGGAGAGCGAAAAAUUAAAAAAUUUUGAAAUAAAUAAACAAAUGAAAAUUGAGGAGAAGCCAUAAACAGAUAAUAGAGGAGAAACUGAGUAAAGAGAAGACAGAGACAAAAACUGAGCAAACCUGAAGAGAGUUCCGGUCAAAGGAGAUUUCGCCGUCGUCGACUGGGUAGAGAUAGGAGACGUCGCCGCUGCCG